UGCCACGUCUGGGCCAUCGUCACGGAAUGCCAGCUUCGUCUCGCAGCCUUUGACGGCGGUGGCGGCGAUUUAACAUUACAUGGCUGAUUUAGUGCCCCACGUGAUGCCACACUCCGACGAGACUAACUGGUGUCGUUCAACCCAUAGAACGCUUUGCUGACUGCGCCCCACAAAUCGCAUCGUGGUAUGCGACGCACCGUGCACAGGUUAUGACUCAAGAUAAGCUCAAUAACCACGAAGAACGUUUGUCACUAAACUCGACGUAUUCCUUCCUCCGGAUCGUUGUGAUAUUGGCUUCGGUUCUUGACCCUGCCGGCGGGUGCCCAAGAAAAAUGUGGAGAAGUGGGACAUCUGCAGGACUCAUGACGCUCAAGCAUCUGGACGCCGUUUCAUAUUUAUAGACGACAAUCUCACAGCUAGACGGAAGCUACGGAACUGGGACGGUCAUUGAAAAUGUAUAACUCCGGCGCUUUUCGUGUUGACGCGCUCGCGGAGCGCUACACCCUCAAAGCAAUACCUUUUACUCACGAUAAUAGCUUACGCAGGCAGUGUUACGUAGACUACGGUAAUAACUUCUCAUAUACUUGCGUAUACGUUUUUUAUUGCAGUGACGCACAAUAUUUUUUGUGUCGAGACGUAACCAAUGUGCUGCGAAAGCUACGCAAGUGUAGUGUGGCUAUAAAACUGCAUCCCACUGCAUGUUUUGUUUCGAAGAGCUUCAGAUUUGCAAGGCUACUUUAUUUAUUUAUGAAUACUGUUGACCCGAGAGUCGUUAGGGCAGGUAGAUAAACAGAAAAUACAUAACACAAUGCAUGAAUAAGCGGCAGUCCUUUAGCCGAACAUUAAAUAUUAGAAAUCAUAAACAGAUUUAAAGGCGCAAAUAGAAAUAUAGCUCAAAACACAAAAGAAUGCACGUGGGACACCGAAGAAGAGGGGGAAAAAAGAAAAAAAAAGAGAAAAAGAGAAGAAAAACAACAGAAAGAGGGAAAAAAAAUUGGCUAAGCAUUCAAAUGCAUAGUACUCAGAAAAUAAUGUAAAACAAGAUAAAUAGUGCCGUAUCCUCUUGUAAAUCAGUAGUACGAGGUAUCCCUAAAUUAUUAAUUGCCGCAAUGGAAAUGCAAUGAAAGCCACCCUUCAAAUUGUUUUAAUAAUACUGAUUGAAGGACUGCGGGGGGUAGGGAAUUCCAUUCUGCUUUUGCUUUAAGAAAUAAUGAAUAUUUACAGCAUUUUUCUUGCGCUGUGUUUGAUUGUAAAAGUUCUCUGCAGGAGCCUCUUACAGUGCGAUAGGAACGCAGCUUUAAGUGAAGGUCGGCAUUAAAUAAAUUACGGGGUAAUUGAUACAAUAAUUUUAGUCUCGCGAUUCUUCUAGGUUCAGCAAGCUCAGGAAGUUGAGGAUUAUUUAACAUAAUAAUGACAGAGUCUGUGCGUCUGUAUCUUGAUAAUAUUAAUCGAGCCGGUCUUCACUGGACUUUCUCAAUCUUGUCUAUAAGACCUUUUCGGUGCGGAUUCUGUAUAACGCCCGCAUACUCUGUAUAACGAGGGACGCAAAAGGGUUACAUACGCGGUUAAUUUCGCCUUCAGAGUAGCGAGCUUUAACUUCAAUCUGUGAAACCACAAUUUACUCUAAGCUUUUGAGCAAAUGUCAUUAUUGUGUGUUUUUCCAGUUUUGAAAGUACUCCAAGGUACUCCAGUACUCCAAGGUAUUUAAAAAAGUUAACUUGGGGGUAAAUGGUGCCCGUCCAUAUCAUGGUCAAAUUCUAUCAUGUUUUUAGUUCUCUCAGUAUGUGCGUCUGUGCGCCUAACUGUGCGUCUGGCAUUUAAUGCUUUUGUUUUAUUUGUCUUUUAGUAGGAUAAACGCUUAUUUCCAAACAUUUUGCUGGGAGCAGACACUUCCAGUCUCUCUCCUGAUGCAACAGUUAAUUGCUCGUAGACGUACAACUGCAAGCCAGACACGGGUGCUGCCAAUGAAAUACCCAGACAUUAAAUAUCAACUAAAGCACUCGUUCUGAAAUGAUUCGUUCAACAAGAAAGACAGCUGCAAUAAGACAGCUCAUGACAAGUUUUAGAGUCUUUACUUCAGAAUUAACCAGAAGGACAAGGAAAAAAGGACGCCGCGUUCAGGAAGAAAAGUUAUUGCCUGGACUAAUGACCCCACAGCAGUGACUGGAUUUUAAACGAUGUCAUUGCAGAUUUCGUCGCAGUAGGCAAUGCGGCUAGUUCCGUGAAACUCGAGCGUUUCGACGCGACGAACGGGGAUGCUUUCGACCGAGAACGAAUGAACUCGUUUAUCUGGGUGUCCGCGGUACAUGGAUUGUUUACGUGAGCAUGCAGGCGUCAGCUCUCGCGUGAUGAGCCGGGUUAGUCACUGAAUCAACAAAACGGGUACACAUAUCCGAAAAGAAACUACAGGUUGCUGACAAUCAUUUAGGCAUGCUAACACAGACAUUCCGAAGUGGCAUUAUCUAGUUGCUGUCGGGGUUUCCGCUGAACUGGCGGUACAACACGAUAGCAUGCACGGAAAUCUCGUCAGAGUCUUAGCAGGCCUUUUAGAAUUUUUGUUCCCUUCUACAGCUGGACUGCCUAUCUCGUGCUUGUAUCAGCUCCAUCAGGGGCAAUGCAACAGUUUCCGAAUUCGUCACUGUUUUAUGGAGUCAGUCAUACUAACUCACCUCAUUGAGCGUUGGAGGUCUCGCAUGCCUAAAAACUCUUUGAAUUCUGGCAAUAGUUUCUGUUUUUUCCAAUCACAUUUC